GACGAACGCUGGCGGCGUGCUUAACACAUGCAAGUCGAACGGAAAGGCCCUGCUUUUGUGGGGUGCUCGAGUGGCGAACGGGUGAGUAACACGUGAGUAACCUGCCCUUGACUUUGGGAUAACUUCAGGAAACUGGGGCUAAUACCGGAUAGGAGCUCCUGCUGCAUGGUGGGGGUUGGAAAGUUUCGGCGGUUGGGGAUGGACUCGCGGCUUAUCAGCUUGUUGGUGGGGUAGUGGCUUACCAAGGCUUUGACGGGUAGCCGGCCUGAGAGGGUGACCGGAGAGAGGGGGAGUGAAGGCAGGCGGGGGCGGGAGGCGGACGCAGUAGGGGGGAGUAUGGGGGAGUGGGGUGAAGUCUGAUGCGGCGGGGCAGGGGGGGGGAAGAGGGGCUGAGGGUGGUAAACAACGGGGGACGGGGAAGCGCAGGGAGAGACGGGAAUGGAUAAAGAAGCAAGGGCACAAGAGGUG
rnacentral:rRNA from 1 species